rnacentral:rRNA from 1 species
GUGCCAGCCGCCGCGGUAAUACGUAGGUGGCAAGCGUUGUCCGGAUUUAUUGGGCGUAAAGCGAGCGCAGGCGGUUUCUUAAGUCUGAUGUGAAAGCCCCCGGCUCAACCGGGGAGGGUCAUUGGAAACUGGGAGACUUGAGUGCAGAAGAGGAGAGUGGAAUUCCAUGUGUAGCGGUGAAAUGCGUAGAUAUAUGGAGGAACACCAGUGGCGAAGGCGGCUCUCUGGUCUGUAACUGACGCUGAGGCUCGAAAGCGUGGGGAGCGAACAGGAUUAGAUACCCUGGUAGUCCACGCCGUAAACGAUGAGUGCUAAGUGUUGGAGGGUUUCCGCCCUUCAGUGCUGCAGCAAACGCAUUAAGCACUCCGCCUGGGGAGUACGACCGCAAGGUUGAAACUCAAAGGAAUUGACGGGGGCCCGCACAAGCGGUGGAGCAUGUGGUUUAAUUCGAAGCAACGCGAAGAACCUUACCAGGUCUUGACAUCCUUUGACCACUCUAGAGAUAGAGCUUCCCC